rnacentral:misc_RNA from 1 species
GACGGAGGGGGCUAGCGUCGUUCGGAAUCACUGGGCGUAAAGCGCGCGUAGGCGGCUUGUCAAGUUGGGCGUGAAAUCCCGGGGCUCAACCCCGGAAUUGCGCCCAAGACUGGCAGGCUUGAGACCGAGAGAGGGUGGUGGAAUUCCCAGUGUAGAGGUGAAAUUCGUAGAUAUUGGGAAGAGCACCAGUGGCGAAGGCGGCCACCUGGCUCGGAUCUGACGCUGAGGCGCGAAAGCGUGGGGAGCAAACAGG